rnacentral:lncRNA from 1 species
UUGAACUGCAUUAGAUAACACACUUGGUUACUGUGUCCUGCCUCCUGCAGCUGACAGUAUGCCGAAGGGGUGUUUGUGCCUGCAGAGAGCUGCACUUUCGAGGGCCAUGUGCACCACAGAAUCUGAACGCUCUUCAGAGGGCUUGUCGACCCUUAGGGUGAAAGACGUCUAAGCUGGCCAUGGCUGAACCCCAGCUGGCUCUGUGUGUUGUGGUGUGCCAUAGCAAAGAAGAUUGCCCAAAGACCUGUGAGCUAUUGUGCAGAGUCAGCCAAGAUGGUCUGCAGGAGCCAGUCUGGAGCCAGAGGUCUACUAAGGGCUGGUCUGAAUGUCUACGGAUUUCUUCAGUUCAAGUUUUUAUUGACUGCUGACCGAACUCAGUCUGCAACUGCGCCUUUUAUAGCUGUGCAGUCCGAGCUGACACGACUAUGGGACUGCAGAUUGGCUCUGGAGGACCGACAGCUGAAUUAAAUUCCAUGCGCAGUUGCUCUGAUGCAAACUCACCAAAGAUGCAGGAGUUACACAGGCAUACAGUAGCUGAAAGCAGACCUCGUCUGCAGAAGAGAAGGUCUGAAGAAGAGGGGAGAUUAAAGCAGCCACUUCAAGUCUGAGGUUCCAGACUAAGAAAAAACCCCCAGAGAUGUAGGGGAAAAAAAGGGGGCAGGGUAUUUUUGCUUCUAGG